UACGGAGGGCGCGAGCGUUAAUCGGAAUUACUGGGCGUAAAGCGCGCGUAGGCUGUUGUGUAAGUUGGGGGUGAAAUCCCAUGGCUUAACCAUGGAACUGCUUUGGAAACUGUGCAGCUGGAGUGCAGGAGAGGUAAGCGGAAUUCCUAGUGCAGCGGUGAAAUGCGUAGAUAUUAGGAGGAACACCAGUGGCGAAGGCGGCUUACUGGACUGUAACUGACGUUGAGGCUCGAAAGCGUGGGGAGCAAACAGG
rnacentral:rRNA from 1 species